rnacentral:rRNA from 1 species
CCCUUAGAUGUCCUGGGCCGCACGCGCGCUACACUGAACGGAUCAGCGCGUUUUCCCUUCCCGAGAGGGACGGGUAACCUGCUGAACCCCGUUCGUGGUAGGGAUCGGAGCUUGCAAUUAUUCCCCGUGAACCAGGAAUGCCCAGUAAGUGCAAGUCAUAAGCUUGCGUUGAUUACGUCCCUGCCCUUUGUACACACCGCCCGUCGCUACUACCGAUUGAACGUUUUAGUGAGGUACUCGGACUGAGCCUCAGAAGAUUCACGUCUUUUGUGCUGCUCGGGAAGAUUCCCAAACUUGAGCGUUUAGAGGAAGUAAAAGUCGUAACA